GUCCCUGAACACUGUCCGAAGCGGUGUCCUCCUCACCAAGAAUGCGACGUGGACUCGCUGGUGGACGGAUUGGGAUGCUUCAAAGCCAACUGCAGAUGCUCUUCCAUCAGCCCCGAGUCAUCGAGGAGGAACUGCAGCAACUUCUGCCCGCCAGGCGAGAAGUGUCACUCUUACGCUGCGGUCGACGCCCAGGGUUGUCCGCUUCCCGGAUGCGUGUGCGUCCCUGACUGCAUAUCGCCGUGUCGAGUGGGAAAGCGAUGCAAGCCGAACUCCCCGCUCGACGCGAAGGGCUGCUUCAAGGAAGGCUGCA
rnacentral:lncRNA from 1 species